GUUCUGAUCGAUCAACAAGGGGAGCAAAGGAGGGGUUUAACCCUAGUUUAUCAAAAUCCACGUGAAUCAAGUGAAAUCUUGAGAAAAUCGAAAGUAUAAACAACGAAUUCUAAGCUCCAAGACUUGUUCUUCGAAGUGGAGUAAAGGAAGAGGGCUCAGGUUCUAAGAAGUCGGAAAGCUCACAAGACAAAGGUAAAUCCUCACUUUAGGCGAUUUGGAGAUUUGGAGCGAGCACGUGUCCACGUCAUGUUAUACCAAAUGCUUCCGCUAGUUUAUGUUCAUCUUUAUGGUCCAUGACUUGU